UACGUAGGUGGCAAGCGUUGUCCGGAAUUAUUGGGCGUAAAGCGCGCGCAGGCGGUUUCUUAAGUCUGAUGUGAAAGCCCCCGGCUCAACCGGGGAGGGUCAUUGGGAACUGGGAAACUUGAGUGCAGAAGAGGAAAGUGGAAUUCCAAGUGUAGCGGUGAAAUGCGUAGAGAUUUGGAGGAACACCAGUGGCGAAGGCGACUUUCUGGUCUGUAACUGACGCUGAGGCGCGAAAGCGUGGGGAGCAAACAGG
rnacentral:rRNA from 1 species